GACGAACGCUGGCGGCGUGCCUAAUACAUGCAAGUAGAACGCUGAAGCUUGGUGCUUGCACCGAGCGGAUGAGUUGCGAACGGGUGAGUAACGCGUAGGUAACCUGCCUGGUAGCGGGGGAUAACUAUUGGAAACGAUAGCUAAUACCGCAUAAGAGUAGAUGUUGCAUGACAUUUGCUUAAAAGGUGCAAUUGCAUCACUACCAGAUGGACCUGCGUUGUAUUAGCUAGUUGGUGAGGUAACGGCUCACCAAGGCAACGAUACAUAGCCGACCUGAGAGGGUGAUCGGCCACACUGGGACUGAGACACGGCCCAGACUCCUACGGGAGGCAGCAGGAGGGAAUCUUCGGCAAUGGACGGAAGUCUGACCGAGCAACGCCGCGUGAGUGAAGAAGGUUGUCGGAUCGUAAAGCUCUGUUGUAAGAGAAGAAAGAGUGUGAGAGUGGAAAGUUCACACUGUGACGGUAUCUUACCAGAAAGGGACGGCUAACUACGUG
rnacentral:rRNA from 1 species